AUGACAUACAGCGUUAAGGCUUCAGCUCAUCUCCCUUGCGAUUUAGCUUUUGGAAUUAACCCCACUCGCCUCAGAGAUCCGCUCUAUUAUCAAGAGCAACAAGAUGAAGGGAAACAAGGUGCAGAUAAUUUUUGGAAAUCUAUUUGUUUUGUUGUUGCAGAUUAUGCAGUUGGCCUAGAAGGGGCAGCAACCCUGGUUUUUGAAGUGUAG